AGGUAGUAUAAGGAAGUAGAGGAAGAAAUUGACCUUACAGGUAGAAGACAAAAACAUCGGAGGUAGUAUAAGGAAGUAGAGGAAGAAAUGGACCUUACAGGUAGAAGACAAAAACAUCGGAGGUAGUAUCAGGAAGUAGAGGAAGAAAUGGACGUUAUGGGUAGAAGACAAAAACAUCGGAGGUAGUAUCAGGAAGUAGAGGAAGAAAUUGACCUUACAGGUAGAAGACAAAAACA